GGGGAUAUAGCUCAGUUGGUAGAGUGCUUGCCUUACAUGCAAGGCCCUGGAUUCAAUCCCCAGAACCACCA
rnacentral:tRNA from 1 species